AUUGAACGCUGGCGGCAGGCUUAACACAUGCAAGUCGAGCGAGCGGCGGACGGGUGAGUAAUGUCUGGGAAACUGCCUGAUGGAGGGGGAUAAAUACUGGAAACGGUAGCUAAUACCGCAUACCAUCAGAUGUGCCCAGAUGUGAUUAGCUAGUAGGUGGGGUAAUGGCUCACCUAGGCGACGAUCCCUAGCUGGUCUGAGAGGAUGACCAGUAGCACUGGAAGUGGGACAUGGUCCGGAAUCCUACGGGAGGCAGCAGUGGGGAACAUUGGACAGUGGGCGCAAGCCUGAUGCAGCCAUGGCGCGUGUGUGAGGAAGGCCUUCGGGUUGUAAAGCACUUUCAGCGAGGAGGCGUUACUCACAGAAGAAGCACCGGCUAACUCCGUGCCAGCAGCCGCGGUAAUUC
rnacentral:rRNA from 1 species